ACUAAUUAUCCUUUUUGAAUUUGAAAGCAGCAUUAGGCAAAAUAAGAUCCAUAUCUAGACACUUCUAAUAAUCACACACAAUUUUAUGGUUCUUUGUUCUUGAAUUCUAUGAUUUAGACAAAUAACUCAGGUAUGAGGAUGUUCCCUCUAAUUUUAUACAUGGGUUGUAUUUGAAGAAGAACACCCCAUUGUCGAGACACCUGUGAUUAUUGACCAAUGUUCCUGUUUUGAAUCACCUUGCACUACCAGGUGCAGAUCUCAUUCGUGACUCCAUCUCAACGUCUUCCUCACAGAACCAGUUGUGGUUACUUAUUUACAGCUAUCGGGAUUCAUGUAUAAUCUACGCGCCCCUUGAGCCACGAACUUCUGCUUAUUUGCAACUAUUCCUGGGCCACAGCAGUACUCCAAUAGAGUGCUUUGGCAACGGCUUCUGUUGUGGUCAGCAACCCUUUCUGCAGCUGGGAUUUCUUAAAAGGACUGCACAGAAUAAAACAAAAAGAGGAAAUGGGGACACCCAGACCGAAUAUUACUGCCUUCAGCAAAAGCCUUUAGAAAACCCUCUCAGGAACCUGUGACAUCACAGAGAUGUGUCACCUUCCGUAUAGGACUUUGCUCCAAAAGCAGCAUGUAUGCAGUUUCUUAAUGCAGAUAAUUAAUUGCUGAAAUACAGCAUGCAAGGCAUGCAAGGCAAUAACUUAAGAAAAAGUUACAAAAGCUCGGCAUUUGUCUCAGGAGAGCCAUUCCUCAUCUGCCUUAUCUGUUCCCGAGAACCUCGAUAGUACACUCGGCUGUGUGACCACAUGAGGUCAGUGUUCAACGUGGCCCAUGGACCAGUCCAGCCAGUCACCUGUUUUUGCAUGGCCCAUGAGCUAAGAAUGGCUUUUUCAUUUCUAAAUAGUUGGAAAAAAUCAAAAGAAGAAUCAUAUAUCAUGAUGUGGGAAAAUUAUAUGAUAUCCACAUUUCAGUGUCCAUAAAUAAAGUUUUAUUGAGAUACGCUCAUCUA